GUACCCUGAUCAAUGGACAGUACAGCUAGGACCAGAGUGAUAGGAGGUGUGUGUUAGUACCCUGAUCAAUAGACAGUACAGCUAGGACCAGAGUGACAGGAGGUGUGUGUUAGUACCCUGAUCAAUAGACAGUACAGCUAGGACCAGAGUGAUAGGUGUGUUAGUACCCUGAUCAAUAGACAGUACAGCUAGGACCAGAGUGAUAGGUGUGUUAGUACCCUGAUCAAUAGACAGUACAGCUAGGACCAGAGUGACAGGAGGUGUGUGUUAGUACCCUGAUCAAUAGACAGUACAGCUAGGACCAGAGUGACAGGAGGUGUGUGUUAGUACCCUGAUCAAUGGACAGUACAGCUAGGACCAGAGUGACAGGAGGUGUGUGUUAGUACCCUGAUCAAUAGACAGUACAGCUAGGACCAGAGUGACAGGAGGUGUGUGUUAGUACCCUGAUCAAUAGACAGUACAGCUAGGACCAGAGUGAUAGGUGUGUUAGUACCCUGAUCAAUAGACAGUACAGCUAGGACCAGAGUGAUAGGAGGUGUGUGUUAGUACCCUGAUCAAUAGACAGUACAGCUAGGACCAGAGUGACAGGAGGUGUGUGUUAGUACCCUGAUCAAUAGACAGUACAGCUAGGACCAGAGUGACAGGAGGUGUGUGUUAGUACCCUGAUCAAUGGACAGUACAGCUAGGACCAGAGUGAUAGGAGGUGUGUGUUAGUACCCUGAUCAAUAGACAGUACAGCUAGGACCAGAGUGACAGGAGGUGUGUGUUAGUACCCUGAUCAAUAGACAGUACAGCUAGGACCAGAGUGAUAGGUGUGUUAGUACCCUGAUCAAUAGACAGUACAGCUAGGACCAGAGUGAUAGGUGUGUUAGUACCCUGAUCAAUAGACAGUACAGCUAGGACCAGAGUGACAGGAGGUGUGUGUUAGUACCCUGAUCAAUAGACAGUACAGCUAGGACCAGAGUGACAGGAGGUGUGUGUUAGUACCCUGAUCAAUGGACAGUACAGCUAGGACCAGAGUGACAGGAGGUGUGUGUUAGUACCCUGAUCAAUAGACAGUACAGCUAGGACCAGAGUGACAGGAGGUGUGUGUUAGUACCCUGAUCAAUAGACAGUACAGCUAGGACCAGAGUGAUAGGAGGUGUGUGUUAGUACCCUGAUCAAUAGACCGUACAGCUAGGACCAGAGUGAUAGGAGGUGUGUGUUAGUACCCUGAUCAAUAGACAGUACAGCUAGGACCAGAGUGACAGGAGGUGUGUGUUAGUACCCUGAUCAAUAGACAGUACAGCUAGGACCAGAGUGACAGGAGGUGUGUGUUAGUACCCUGAUCAAUAGACAGUACAGCUAGGACCAGAGUGACAGGAGGUGUGUGUUAGUACCCUGAUCAAUAGACAGUACAGCUAGGACCAGAGUGAUAGGUGUGUUAGUACCCUGAUCAAUAGACAGUACAGCUAGGACCAGAGUGAUAGGAGGUGUGUGUUAGUACCCUGAUCAAUAGACAGUACAGCUAGGACCAGAGUGACAGGAGGUGUGUGUUAGUACCCUGAUCAAUAGACAGUACAGCUAGGACCAGAGUGACAGGAGGUGUGUGUUAGUACCCUGAUCAAUAGACAGUACAGCUAGGACCAGAGUGACAGGAGGUGUGUGUUAGUACCCUGAUCAAUAGACAGUACAGCUAGGACCAGAGUGACAGGAGGUGUGUGUUAGUACCCUGAUCAAUAGACAGUACAGCUAGGACCAGAGUGACAGGAGGUGUGUGUUAGUACCCUGAUCAAUAGACAGUACAGCUAGGACCAGAGUGACAGGAGGUGUGUGUUAGUACCCUGAUCAAUGGACAGUACAGCUAGGACCAGAG